GACAUUCCAUGGGCAGAUCUAGGGGGGUUGCCCCUUGCCACCCAAAAACAAAAUCUCCUUUCAUUGCUUAAAGAGAAAAAAAAAGGAAAACUGAGGAGACAAAAAAAGGAAAGCUAGAGGAAGAAGAAGAGAAGGGAGAAGAUUGAAUGUAUUUGUCGCCUUCACACUUAGCGAUGAAACCAUAUUAAUUCCCUAUCUCACCCCAAUAGCUUGUAGUGCACCACCAUCGAUAAUAACUAUGGUUUUUGCAGCCAAAACUUUGAUCAUGAUGCAGUCAUCUUCUUGGGAUGUGGAAGCCCAUAAUGAACAAAUGACACUAUAAGUGGGAGGAAGAGGGAUCCCAUCACAUUGUUUAAGCUUUAGUGUAGAACAAGAUUCCCGACAAUAUCCACUCCUAUCGACUAUCAAACAAUAUCAAUUGCGAAGGCGAGGUGUGGGACUGUGGGGUUGUGGUGGGGGGAGGGGGGCUUAUGCCCCACAAAAAAAAAAGAAACAAUGGAGCCUCAUGAAGAGAAAGAGCGAAGAAUGAGAGAAGGAAGAAUAAGACCCUCCAUACUAUGAGUCUAGAUCUAUCUUGGGACCGACAAGGCAACAAAAAGGGCACAAUCAGCGUCAACAUUUGAACUCACAUGCCGAAGGUGUCUAUGGAAAGAGCUCUUGGAACUUCUCAAGCGCAUCAGGGGCAGCAUGGAGAGUACUCCCACUCAUGUCGCCUGCCGACGUCCCAGGCAUAAGACAAAGCAGAGCUCCAUGGACCACGGGCAGUGCUUCUACCAUUGAUCGAUCGGCCAUUAUCUAUCAGAGCUGCUGCACCAGUUAUG
rnacentral:lncRNA from 1 species